UGGACCUCCAGCUCCUGGCUGAGGACAUCCAGGUAGCUCUCCUUCCCCUGCCGAGAGAAACGGAGGAGAACAGCACCUGAGAAUGAGGAACCUUAAAGCAGGGGCAAUGAACAGGUGGCCCAGAAGCAGUUACAAAACAAUGUACAUAUUUGGCAGAGAGUCCAGCACUUUUCCAUCUUGUUGACUCAGAAGAGCUUUAACGAUCCUGGGAUGUGAUGGAGGGCACUAAAUAAAAGCCCUAGGCACUAUGCCUACAGUGCCUGAUGGGAAAUGCGGUACUGUCUGAAGGCUUUACCUGCGUAAGAGUGGCUGGGAGCUGGC